GAUGAGGUUAAUUCUGAUGAUGGAACCGAGAUCCUUGAGGAUGACGUAGAUGAGGAUGAUGACUGAAGCUUGGAUCAGGCUCAGUCACUGCAUUUCAUUUUGGGGGAUACCUUUUAUUUUUUCUGUCAUGUUUUUAAUUUCUAGUUUUAUUUUAAAACUCUGGUUUAGUUUCUCUUUUUAGUGUUUGAACUUGGCUUGACGGAGUUUGAUGACAUUGUUUCGAUAUCAAGUACUCUUUUUGAUUGUGAAAAUUGUUUUGUGCUGGCUCGAUUGGUUUGAUUUCUCUGAG
rnacentral:lncRNA from 1 species